rnacentral:tRNA from 2 species
GGGCGGUUAGCUCAGUUGGUAGAGCAUCUCGCUUACACCGAGAAUGUCGGCGGUUCGAGACCGUCACCGCCCACCA